rnacentral:tRNA from 1 species
AUUACUUUGGCAGAUUAGUGUUUUAAAUUUAGAAUUUAAAUAUAUAUAUUUAUUAAUAUAUAAGUAAUA